GAAUUCACUCUCAGUCGGUAGAGCAUGAGACUCUUAAUCUCAUGGUCGUGGGUUCAAGCUGCACAUUGGACA